rnacentral:pre_miRNA from 1 species
AAGUGGAGAAGUGGUCUCUUCACUUUGAUUUUAAGUGAGAUUCAACUCCUCCAACUUAU